rnacentral:rRNA from 1 species
GUCGAACGAGGAGCAUCUGUGUAGCAAUACAUAGGUGCUUCUAGUGGCGCACGGGUGAGUAACACGUGGGCAACCUGCCCUUGAGUCCGGGAUACCCUCUCGAAAGGGAGGCUAAUACCGGAUACGUUCCUCGGAUCGCGAGAUCUGGGGAGGAAAGGUGGCGAAAGCUGCCGCUCUUGGAGGGGCUCGCGGCCUAUCAGCUAGUUGGUGAGGUAACGGCUCACCAAGGCUAUGACGGGUAGCUGGUCUGAGAGGACGACCAGCCACACGGGAACUGAGACACGGUCCCGACUCCUACGGGAGGCAGCAGUGGGGAAUUUUCCGCAAUGGGCGAAAGCCUGACGGAGUGACGCCGCGUGGGGGACGAAGGCCUUCGGGUUGUAAACCCCUGUCAGAGGGAAAGAAGGGUCGCCGACCUAAUACGUCGGUGAUUUGACGGUACCUUCAGAGGAAGCCCCGGCCAACUCUGUGCCAGCAGCCGCGGUAAGACAGAGGGGGCAAGCGUUGCUCGGAAUCACUGGGCGUAAAGGGCGCGUAGGCGGGAUGGCAAGUCGGUCGUGAAAUCCUUCGGCCCAACCGAAGAACGUCGGCCGAUACUGCCAUUCUUGAGGAUUGCAGAGGAGACUGGAAUUCCCGGUGUAGCGGUGAAAUGUGUAGAGAUCGGGAGGAACACCGGUGGCGAAGGCGGGUCUCUGGGCAAUUCCUGACGCUGAGGCGCGAAAGCGUGGGGAGCAAACGGGAUUAGAUACCCCGGUAGUCCACGCUGUAAACGAUGACGACUAGGUGUGGGGGGGGUUAGUCCCUUCCGUGCCGCAGCUAACGCAUUAAGUCGUCCGCCUGGGGAGUACGGCCGCAAGGUGAAACUCAAAGGAAUUGACGGGGGCCCGCACAAGCGGUGGAGCAUGUGGUUCAUUCGAUGCCAAGCGAAGAACCUUACCUGGGCUUGACAUGUAGGAAGUAGAAACCCGAAA